AGUGAACGCUGGCGGUAGGCCUAACACAUGCAAGUCGAACGGCAGCACGGUGCGUGCUUGUGGUUACAGGUGCGGACUGGCGGGCGGGUCCGGAAAAUCUGGGUAUUUACUUUUUAUAAGGGGCUAACACGGGGACAAUUACCCCAUACCUGCAUAGGACGAAAGGGGGAAAGCAUCGGAUCUUAGGCCAUCAGGUGAUCCUAUGUCGGAUUAGCUAGUUGGUGGGGUAAAGGCCUACCAAGGCGACGAUCCGUAACUGGUCUGAGAGGAUGAUCAGUCACACUGGAACUGAGACACGGUCCAGACUCCUACGGGAGGCAGCAGUGGGGAAUAUUGGACAAUGGGCGCAAGCCUGAUCCAGCCAUGCCGCGUGUGUGAAGAAGGUCUUCGGAUUGUAAAGCCCUUUUAGUGGGGAAGAAGGGCAGUAAGUUAAUACCCCGCUGUUCUGACGGUACCCAAAGAAUAAGCACCGGCUAACUUCGUG
rnacentral:rRNA from 1 species